rnacentral:rRNA from 1 species
GUGUCAGCAGCCGCGGUAAUACAGAGGGUGCAAGCGUUGUUCGGAAUUAUUGGGCGUAAAGCGCGUGUAGGCGGCUCGUUAUGUCGGGUGUGAAAGCCCUCAGCUUAACUGAGGAAGUGCGCCCGAAACUGGCGAGCUUGAGUGUCGGAGAGGAUAGCGGAAUACCCGGUGUAGAGGUGAAAUUCGUAGAUAUCGGGUGGAACACCAGUGGCGAAGGCGGCUAUCUGGACGACAACUGACGCUGAGACGCGAAAGCGUGGGGAGCAAACAGGAUUAGAUACCCUGGUAGUCC